GCGGGUGUAGCUCAGCGGUAGAGCAUCAGCUUCCCAAGCUGAGGGUCGCGGGUUCGAAUCCCGUCGCCCGCU
rnacentral:tRNA from 1 species